UUUGUUUCUUGACUGACUUGGAAACUUGAAACGCUACAAAGGAUAUAAAGGCCUGAAAUGAGCACUACAGCGUAUGCCACUAUCACAAAUCAAUCAAGCAUCACAACAUGGCUGGACAUGCACGAUUUCUUCUCACUCUUGUUGUGUUGCUCCUCCUUGCUUGUAAUGUAGCAAUGGCUGCGCGUUUCUUAGGCGGCGGCGGUGGCGGCGGCGGUGGUGGCGGUGGCGGUGGCGGCGGUGGUGGUGGCGGUGGCGGUGGUGGCGGUGGCGGUGGCGGUGGCGGUCACCGAAGGAAAUAAUGAUUACUAUCAUCCUCUAUAAUAAAAUCUCUGUUCCCACCAAAUCCUGGCCGUCCACCUCACACGGACGGCCAGGAUAUGACUUAGCUUUGUUUCAUAUUUUUGGUUUUUUUUAUUUUAUGAAGUCGUCAGUCAUGGGCGAAGGCUCCUCGCACCGAGCUCGGCCAGGAAGAAACCAAAUCUAUCCAUCUCCUUGCUCGAUCUUGCUUGAAUCGCUCGAAUUUCGCUCCAGCAGCAAUGGCGUCAGUGGCAGUGCCAUCGCCAACGCAUCAGUGGUUCCUCUCAGUUUUUUUCAUUAGCAGCAUCUGUCUCCCAGCCUUUUCUCUUUCUUUCUGGGCAAUAUUGGCUUCUAUUUUGUUUGUUCUCUUUUUCUAUCAAAUAUUCUUCAUUGAAGUACUGCAGCAAAUGAUUUGAGUUACUUCAUGGUCCCCAUGGAGAGAGAUUCAUCGAGCUUCUAGAUAGAUAGGAUGUUGAAUGAGAUGGUUGUGACUUCCCUCAUAUUGGUUAUAGAUGUGAUUUCGAAGCUUCACGUUGUGCACAGCUCAGCAGUGCAAA
rnacentral:lncRNA from 1 species